ensembl:snRNA LOC120097641 U4 spliceosomal RNA
AGCUUUGCACCACAGCAGUAUCAUAGCCAGUGAGGUUUAUCUGAGGCACGAUUAUUGCUAAUUGAAAACUUUCAAUUUGACAGAUAUU